UGGGGAAUAUUGGACAAUGGGCGCAAGCCUGAUCCAGCCAUGCCGCGUGUGUGAAGAAGGCCUUUUGGUUGUAAAGCACUUUAAGCGAGGAGGAGGCUACUUGGAUUAAUACUCUAGGAUAGUGGACGUUACUCGCAGAAUAAGCACCGGCUAACUCUGUGCCAGCAGCCGCGGUAAUACAGAGGGUGCGAGCGUUAAUCGGAUUUACUGGGCGUAAAGCGUGCGUAGGCGGCUUCUUAAGUCGGAUGUGAAAUCCCUGAGCUUAACUUAGGAAUUGCAUUCGAUACUGGGAAGCUAGAGUAUGGGAGAGGAUGGUAGAAUUCCAGGUGUAACGGUGAAAUGCGUAGAGAUCUGGAGGAAUACCGAUGGCGAAGGCAGCCAUCUGGCCUAAUACUGACGCUGAGGUACGAAAGCAUGGGGAGCAAACAGG
rnacentral:rRNA from 1 species